GCAGGGAUGCCGGAGUGGCCAAACGGGGCAGACUCAAGAUCUGCUGGCUUAGUGCCUUCGCAGGUUCGAAUCCUGCUCCCUGCA
rnacentral:tRNA from 1 species